AUUGAACGCUGGCGGCAGGCCUAACACAUGCAAGUCGAAUGGUAACAGGAAACAGCUUGCUGUUUCGCUGACGAGUGGCGGACGGGUGAGUAAUGUCUGGGAAACUGCCUGAUGGCGGGGGAUAACUACUGGAAACGGUAGCUAAUACCGCAUAACGUCGCAAGACCAAAGAGGGGGACCUUAGGGCCUCUUGCCAUCAGAUGUGCCCAGAUGGGAUUAGCUAGUAGGUGGGGUAACGGCUCACCUAGGCGACGAUCCCUAGCUGGUCUGAGAGGAUGACCAGCCACACUGGAACUGAGACACGGUCCAGACCCCUACGGGAGGCAGCAGUGGGGAAUAUUGCACAAUGGGCGAAAGCCUGAUGCAGCCAUGCCGCGUGUAUGAAGAAGGCCUUCGGGUUGUAAAGUACUUUCAGCGGGGAGGAAGGGAGUAAAGUUAAUACCUUUGCUCAUUGACGUUACCCGCAGAAGAAGCACCGGCUAACUCCGUG
rnacentral:rRNA from 1 species